UUGACAGCAAGAGUGAAAUCCUCUAUUUAUUCAAAGAACAGGUAUAGCACAAACAGCAGCUACAGUGCAACACUACCACACACACACACACACUUCACCCACCAGUACGAGUACCUGGGAGGGAUCAUUUCCAAGGUUAAAGGGGGAGUUCACCUUUCAAGACUCAUUCAAACAAAAGGAAGU
rnacentral:sRNA from 1 species